UAGGCCAUCGUUGGACCCUCCUUACCAAGGCCUGUUAAGGUUGUGUGGCGUGCCAACUGAUUGUUUGAUGAAAAAAAUGAAGAGAAAUCUUUUAAUACGUUUGUAGCAGGUGUGGAUAGAGCACCCCCCUGAUGAGGGAGGGCUGGGGGGUACGUCCCCUCUCGUGUCCCCCAUCCUUUUUCUCCUGCUGUGUUGUGACAUGACUCGCAUCCAAUAAUAUUCUCCUCCCUUCCCCACCUUGCGUGGAAAAAAAUUAUCUCUUCCAUGUGAGGUACUAAUGGGACUUGGUAGAUGGCAGAAUGGGGCUAUAGCUCAGCUGGAAGAGCGCCUGCUUUGCACGCAUGAGGUCUGCCGUUCGAUCCCGCAUACCUCCAUCCUAUAAAGACUUCAUAGAGUAUUGUAAACAGUAUGCUGUGAAGUAUUAUGCUCUUUAACAAUCUGGAACACGCUGAAAUUUGAAACGAUGCGGAUAAACAUAUCUCUCCGUGUACUACUGAUAUGUGAUUAGGCUGUAUCAGAGUCUCUCAUAUAGUCGCAGCGCGAAAGUGACUUUGAUGUAUCAAAGACACCUUCUGGUAGUGAGGUUUAGCGACUAAGCGUACACGGUGGAUGCCUUGGCACU
rnacentral:misc_RNA from 1 species